rnacentral:lncRNA from 1 species
UAUGCUUGGUCUAAGAGAUGAUGAAUGAUGCCAGAUUAGAUGAUCAACAGUGAGGGUUUUACGAUACCAGCCCUCCCGUAAGGAUGGAGGAAGCAGCAGCCAAAAUGAGUCUUUCAGAAGGAGGGAAGGUGAAGGGCUCCUCUUCAAGGAGCCUAUUGCAUCAGGAGAGACCUCCAUCACCUGUGCCCACUUGUGUGUCCAUGAAGAGUGAUCGGUCAAAGGAUGGUGAGAUCAACUUCCAACAUGGAGAUGACACAGAUGGAUCAAUGACUGGAUGGGCAAAAAGCCCAAUCCAUCAUGAGAGACCUCCAUCACCUGUGCCCACUUGUGUGUCCAUGAAGAGUGAUCGGUCAAAGGAUGGUGAAAUCAACUUCCAACACGGAUCAAUGACUCGAGGGGCGAAAAGAGGCCAGAUGCAGGAAUGUAACCCAGAUGCUGUCAGUGACCCGUUUACCAAAUCUCAACAGGAGGACCUGAAACACAUAUUCCAGGUUUGGAUGCAGUACUGCUAUACUGAAUAUGCCCAGAGUUGACAAUAUUGAUCAUAACUGAAGUGGAUGGGAAUUUCCAGACUGCUCUGGAUGUGUAGGCUUGUAGCUGUUUAGUUCACAGGAGUAAAGACAAGUACACACAAGAGAGCAUGCUGGGGGAAAGAAUAC